rnacentral:lncRNA from 1 species
ACCAAGGCAAAGGCACCAGCAGCAGCAGCCCCAAGCUCUCCCACGUGUUCAAGAUGUUUGUGGUGCUUUUUCUCUUUCUCAUAAUCUUCACCAGUUUUGCCUUCAUCAGUAGUCUCUUCAAAAUUAGUGGUCUCAGAUGAGUAGGCAGCUCCUUUUCCAUAGGUAUCUCCUUCACCAUAAUUAGUUUUCUCUCCAUAGGUAGUUUCAGAUGGAACAUCUCCAUAGCCACUCUUGUUUUCAUAGCCACUCUCUCCAUAACUAGUCUUAUUUUCAUAGCCACUAUCUCCAUAGCCACUCUUGUUUUCAUAGCCACUAUCUCCAUAGCCACUCUUGUUUUCAUAGCCACUAUCUCCAUAACCAGUCUUAUUUUCAUAGCCACUAUCUCCAUCGCUAGUCUUAUUUUCAUAGCCACUAUCUCCAUAGUUACCUCCCUCACCAUAACUAGUUUUCUCUACAUAUCCACUUUCUCCAUAGUCAGUUUUCUCACCAUAUUUGUUAUCCCCAUAGUUAUCUCCCCCACCAUAACUAGUUUUCUCACCAUAUGUAUUCUCUCCGUAGGUAGUUUUUUCAGUAUCACCACCAUAUGGAGUUUCUCCAUAGGUAGUUUUGUCUUCCUCCUUGUCCUUGUGGUGGAAGAGACCGAAGUGGUGCUUCUUCUCUUCAGCCAUUUUGGUGAUAAAUGUGAUGGUUGACGAGUUUUGAAAAAAGUAGUAGUACGUACAAUAUACUUGGGUGCUGUUGGGAUGUUUUCUCUUGUUAAUAUUGAGUGGUAUUUAUAACUACUGUUGGUUAUAACUAGCUAGCCUAUGAGUUUGGAACUUGAGUUAGUUGAUGUGAGG